rnacentral:lncRNA from 1 species
GAUUUACAAUUAAUAGAACAAAGCCUUUUGUUAAUUUUCCAGUUUUCAACAAUAUGCAUAUGUAAUAAGAGAUUGUUAAACAUCCCCUUCUUAUAGCUAGUGAUAGGAUAUUACUUUCUAAAACGGUAUCUAUCGGAAAUCGAUUGUACGUCAACUUGAGUUGAGAAAUUCUUCAUUUUUUUCAAAUAUACAAGAAUCGAUCGGACAAUUGAAAUUAAUAACGUGAAUAAUAAGUAUUGAAGGGUGGAUAUUUAUAUCAAUCCCCGUUAGGCCGAUAUAUUGAUGUGUUUAUGAAAUUAUUCGAUACGAGACUUCACGUGCUAGUGCAUUGUCAAACCGGUAGUCAACAGGAAGAUAUGUCAACCAUAACUAGAAUACAUUAUCCUGUUUUGAACCUACUAUUGUCUUUAAUCUUAACCUCAUAGCAAACAACAACCAUAAUGAUUAAUCUUUAUAUUAACCGAACCCUGAUAUGCUCGUACCCAGUGCAUUUCUCAAAUUCUGUGGUAAAUCAUUCGUACAUUGCACAUUGUGUGCAACGGUGUGGUUAAUAAGUCACGACAGCUUACGCUAUUUCAAGUUUCACCAUACUACUAGGUUGCGUCAUGUCCGGG